rnacentral:tRNA from 1 species
UCCUUUGUAGCUCAGUGGUAAAGAAUCUGCCUGCAAUGCAGGAGACCCAGGUUCUAUUCCUGGGUUGGGAA